rnacentral:rRNA from 1 species
UCCGUAGGGUGCAAGCGUUGUCCGGAAUUAUUGGGCGUAAAGAGCUCGUGGGCGGCUUGUCGCGUCGGCUGUGAAAACCUGGGGCUCAACCCCGGGCCUGCAGCCGAUACGGGCAAGCUAGAAUUCGGUAGGGGAGACUGGAAUUCCUGGUGUAGCGGUGAAAUGCGCAGAUAUCAGGAGGAACACCGGUGGCGAAGGCGGGUCUCUGGACAGUUCCUGACACUGAGACACGAAGGCCAGGGGAGCAAACGGG